rnacentral:rRNA from 1 species
ACGGGAGACACACGGCGGGUGCUAACGUCCGUCGUGAAGAGGGAAACAACCCAGACCGCCAGCUAAGGUCCCAAAGUCAUGGUUAAGUGGGAAACGAUGUGGGAAGGCCCAGACAGCCAGGAUGUUGGCUUAGAAGCAGCCAUCAUUUAAAGAAAGCGUAAUAGCUCACUGGUCGAGUCGGCCUGCGCGGAAGAUGUAACGGGGCUAAACCAUGCACCGAAGCUGCGGCAGCGACACUAUGUGUUGUUGGGUAGGGGAGCGUUCUGUAAGCCUGUGAAGGUGUGCUGUGAGGCAUGCUGGAGGUAUCAGAAGUGCGAAUGCUGACAUAAGUAACGAUAAAGCGGGUGAAAAGCCCGCUCGCCGGAAGACCAAGGGUUCCUGUCCAACGUUAAUCGGGGCAGGGUGAGUCGACCCCUAAGGCGAGGCCGAAAGGCGUAGUCGAUGGGAAACAGGUUAAUAUUCCUGUACUUGGUGUUACUGCGAAGGGGGGACGGAGAAGGCUAUGUUGGCCGGGCGACGGUUGUCCCGGUUUAAGCGUGUAGGCUGAUUUUCCAGGCAAAUCCGGAAAAUCAAGGCUGAGGCGUGAUGACGAGGCACUACGGUGCUGAAGCAACAAAUGCCCUGCUUCCAGGAAAAGCCUCUAAGCAUCAGGUAACAUCAAAUCGUACCCCAAACCGACACAGGUGGUCAGGUAGAGAAUACCAAGGCGCUUGAGAGAACUCGGGUGAAGGAACUAGGCAAAAUGGUGCCGUAACUUCGGGAGAAGGCACGCUGAUAUGUAGGUGAAGCGACUUGCUCGUGGAGCUGAAAUCAGUCGAAGAUACCAGCUGGCUGCAACUGUUUAUUAAAAACACAGCACUGUGCAAACACGAAAGUGGACGUAUACGGUGUGACGCCUGCCCGGUGCCGGAAGGUUAAUUGAUGGGGUUAGCGGUAACGCGAAGCUCUUGAUCGAAGCCCCGGUAAACGGCGGCCGUAACUAUAACGGUCCUAAGGUAGCGAAAUUCCUUGUCGGGUAAGUUCCGACCUGCACGAAUGGCGUAAUGAUGGCCAGGCUGUCUCCACCCGAGACUCAGUGAAAUUGAACUCGCUGUGAAGAUGCAGUGUACCCGCGGCAAGACGGAAAGACCCCGUGAACCUUUACUAUAGCUUGACACUGAACAUUGAGCCUUGAUGUGUAGGAUAGGUGGGAGGCUUUGAAGUGUGGACGCCAGUCUGCAUGGAGCCGACCUUGAAAUACCACCCUUUAAUGUUUGAUGUUCUAACGUUGGCCCGUUAUCCGGGUUGCGGACAGUGUCUGGUGGGUAGUUUGACUGGGGCGGUCUCCUCCUAAAGAGUAACGGAGGAGCACGAAGGUUGGCUAAUCCUGGUCGGACAUCAGGAGGUUAGUGCAAUGGCAUAAGCCAGCUUGACUGCGAGCGUGACGGCGCGAGCAGGUGCGAAAGCAGGUCAUAGUGAUCCGGUGGUUCUGAAUGGAAGGGCCAUCGCUCAACGGAUAAAAGGUACUCCGGGGAUAACAGGCUGAUACCGCCCAAGAGUUCAUAUCGACGGCGGUGUUUGGCACCUCGAUGUCGGCUCAUCACAUCCUGGGGCUGAAGUAGGUCCCAAGGGUAUGGCUGUUCGCCAUUUAAAGUGGUACGCGAGCUGGGUUUAGAACGUCGUGAGACAGUUCGGUCCCUAUCUGCCGUGGGCGCUGGAGAACUGAGGGGGGCUGCUCCUAGUACGAGAGGACCGGAGUGGACGCAUCACUGGUGUUCGGGUUGUCAUGCCAAUGGCACUGCCCGGUAGCUAAAUGCGGAAGAGAUAAGUGCUGAAAGCAUCUAAGCACGAAACUUGCCCCG